CGUGCGCCGUCGCCUAAUCCCGCCGGCCGGCCUCCGGGCAGGUCAGGGAGCCGGGGAACCACGUUCCUGGGGUGAAUCGGCGGGGCUCCGGCCCGGCCGUAGGAGACCUUCCUGCUCCGAACCCGUCAGCUAACCCGGUAGGCGCGAAGGAAGGAAAG
rnacentral:sRNA from 2 species